rnacentral:snoRNA from 1 species
UCUCCCUGGCAAUGGACAAAGAGACACCCUGCUGGUGAUGUUGUUCUUCUAUCAGUCAGGGGCAGAGCAGAGGGCGGUCCUUUGUUCACUCUAGCUUGAUGCCUGGCUUGGUGGCCAAAGCUGGUUUAUCCCUAGGGUUCACAA